AGAGUUUGAUCCUGGCUCAGGACGAACGCUGGCGGCGCGCCUAACACAUGCAAGUCGAACGGAGCUGAGAGGAGCUUGCUUUUCUUAGCUUAGUGGCGAACGGGUGAGUAACGCGUGAGUAACCUGCCCUGGAGUGGGGGACAACAGUUGGAAACGACUGCUAAUACCGCAUAAGCCCACGGCCCGGCAUCGGGCUGAGGGAAAAGGAUUUAUUCGCUUCAGGAUGGACUCGCGUCCAAUUAGCUAGUUGGUGAGGUAACGGCCCACCAAGGCGACGAUUGGUAGCCGGACUGAGAGGUUGAACGGCCACAUUGGGACUGAGACACGGCCCAGACUCCUACGGGAGGCAGCAGUGGGGGAUAUUGCACAAUGGGGGAAACCCUGAUGCAGCGACGCCGCGUGGAGGAAGAAGGUUUUCGGAUUGUAAACUCCUGUCGUUAGGGACGAUAAUGACGGUACCUAACAAGAAAGCACCGGCUAACUACGUGCCAGCAGCCGCGGUAAAACGUAGGGUGCAAGCGUUGUCCGGAAUUACUGGGUGUAAAGGGAGCGCAGGCGGACCGGCAAGUUGGAAGUGAAAACUAUGGGCUCAACCCAUAAAUUGCUUUCAAAACUGCUGGCCUUGAGUAGUGCAGAGGUAGGUGGAAUUCCCGGUGUAGCGGUGGAAUGCGUAGAUAUCGGGAGGAACACCAGUGGCGAAGGCGACCUACUGGGCACCAACUGACGCUGAGGCUCGAAAGCAUGGGUAGCAAACAGGAUUAGAUACCCUGGUAGUCCAUGCCGUAAACGAUGAUUACUAGGUGUUGGAGGAUUGACCCCUUCAGUGCCGCAGUUAACACAAUAAGUAAUCCACCUGGGGAGUACGACCGCAAGGUUGAAACUCAAAGGAAUUGACGGGGGCCCGCACAAGCAGUGGAGUAUGUGGUUUAAUUCGAAGCAACGCGAAGAACCUUACCAGGUCUUGACAUCCGAUGCAUAGCUUAGAGAUAAGUGAAGUCCUUCGGGACAUCGAGACAGGUGGUGCAUGGUUGUCGUCAGCUCGUGUCGUGAGAUGUUGGGUUAAGU
rnacentral:rRNA from 1 species